AUGUUACUAUACGAUGUUUUUCAACAGGGACUCCCGAUGAAUGUUGUGCCUGAUUGGAUCGAGACUAAAGGUACCUUGAAUAUUGUUAGCUUACGGCCAAGAUAUCCUACAAUGCACUUUAGUGCAUUCAGGAUUUAUAAUAGCGAGGAAUGCUUAAUAGUAAAAGACUGGAGCAAAAUUGUGAACGGUCACAGAGAAGUACUAGGGGGCAGCAAUCAGAAGCGCAACCCACGAUUAGGAGACAGGUUCAUCUGCAUGCUCCAAUAUGAUGAAUCGGCAAAGCUAUACAUGUUCUAUGCUAUUUUACCUGAGAGAAAGCAGCAGGAAUGA
rnacentral:rRNA from 1 species